rnacentral:sRNA from 1 species
GUCAACAACCCACCACUGGCUUGAGUACAAGUACAGUGGGGGCUUGAAAUACAGCCCUAGUUGACCCGCCUAAGUCUUAACUGACUCCGUUAUUUGGGUCACGNAGAUCUCGGAUGUAAUCACGGGUUUUCGGCUUAAGUUGACACGGAUGGGGGUUAACUCGCCCCUACGACUGUUGACGGUGAUCCUUCAUUCUUCUCAGU